CAGUGUGCUCAGCCUACGGGCAGCAGUGGGGAAUUUUUUGGACAAUGGAAACCCUGAUCCAGCCAUCCCGCGUGCGAUGAAGACCUUCGGGUUGUAAGCACUUUUGGCAGGAAAGAAACGGCGCAGGAUAAUACCCGUGCAACUGACAGUACCUGCAGAAUAAGCACCGGUAACUACGUGCCAGCAGCCGCGGUAAUUCGUAGGGUGCAAGCGUUAAUCAGUGUUACUGGGCAUCUAGUGCGCAGGCGGUUCCGGAAAGAAGAUGUGAAAUCCGGGAAGCUUAACUUUGGAACUGCAUUUUUAACUACCGAGCUAGAGUGUGUCAGAGGAGGUGGAAUUCCGCGUGUAGCAGUGAAAUGCGUAGAUAUGCGGAGGAACACACCGAUGGCGAAGGCAGCCUCCUGGGAUAACACUGACGCUCAUGCACAGCGUGGGAGCAAAACCGGGAUUAGAUACCCGUGUAGU
rnacentral:misc_RNA from 1 species